CUCAAAAACAACCUCAGCGCCAAAGAUCUAGCCUCCCCUUCCAGAGGAUUGGCCAGGACGCACGGUCACGCGCUUGCUCCCUGUUCCACGGAUGGGGAUACUCGGUGCUGCCUCUUAGCUACACCUGAUGCUCUUCCUGCACACAGCCUCUGACUCUUCCUGCCAGUAGGCAUUUUCUGCAGACACCCAGGGCAUGAGUCAGCACAAGGUAGCCAAUGCCCAAACCCAGGCCCGGAUUCUACACCGAACUAGCUGGUUCAAGCUGAUUCCUGACACUGGGAAAACAAACCUAAAAGCAAUUUAGAAAACACCUGCCCGUGAAGUCAGAUGGCAAAAUAUCUAAAGCUUCUCUGGAAAUCUGUGACCUCAGAGGCUGACAUGGUUUGAUGGGAAAUUUAAUGUAAUAGGCUGCGAAAGCCAAGAGGCCUGUUGUCAGCAAUGAAGUCUGAAAGUUAGCAGAAUUAAUAACGCUGUACAAUGGAAGAGCCCUCAAGGGACAAGGCUGCAGAACCAGGGCAGUGGGGAAAAAUGACUUUUGAAGUCAUUUCACUAUGACAUUCUGUCAUCACUGCUAAACGGAAAUAAAAAAUCGUCCGAAUCACCGUGUGUUUCUUUGUGUGUCCUUCCCUUAUCUAAUAUAAAGU